rnacentral:siRNA from 1 species
AGGGGCAAAUUGGUUCAAUCUCCU